AUUGAACGCUGGCGGCAGGCUUAACACAUGCAAGUCGAACGAGCGGCGGACGGGUGAGUAAUGUCUGGGAAACUGCCUGAUGGAGGGGCAUAACUACUGGAAACGGUAGCUAAUACCGCAUACCAUCAGAUGUGCCCAGAUGGGAUUAGCUAGUAGUGGGGGGAAAGGCUCACCUAGGCGACGAGCCCUAGCUGGUCUGAGAGGAUGACCAGCCACACGGGAACGGAGACACGGUCCAGACUCCUACGGGGGGAAGCAGUGGGGAAUAUUGCACAAUGGGCGCAAGCCUGAUGCAGCCAUGCCGAGUGUGUGAAGAAGGCCUUCGGGUUGUAAAGCACUUUCAGCGAGGAGGCGUUACCCGCAGAAGAAGCACCGGCUAACUCCGUGCCAGCAGCCGCGGUAAUUC
rnacentral:rRNA from 1 species